rnacentral:tRNA from 1 species
CAUGCUGUAGCUUAAUCAACAAAAGCAUCUGGCCUACACCCAGAAGACUCCACGACAAAUGGACAUCAUGA